rnacentral:rRNA from 1 species
CCUACGGGAGGCAGCAGUAGGGAAUCUUCCGCAAUGGACGAAAGUCUGACGGAGCAACGCCGCGUGAGUGAUGAAGGUUUUCGGAUCGUAAAACUCUGUUGUGAGGGAAGAACAAGUAUUGUUCGAAUAGGGCAAUACCUUGACGGUACCUCACCAGAAAGCCCCGGCUAACUACGUGCCAGCAGCCCGCGGUAAUAAU